GCUUGCUUGGGCGGAUCAGUGGCGAACGGGUGAGUAACACGUGAGCAACCUGCCCUCCACUUCGGGAUAAGCCUUGGAAACGGGGUCUAAUACCGGAUAUGAGCAUCCAUCGCAUGGUGGGUGUUGGAAAGUUUUUCGGUGGGGGAUGGGCUCGCGGCCUAUCAGCUUGUUGGUGGGGUGAUGGCCUACCAAGGCGUCGACGGGUAGCCGGCCUGAGAGGGCGACCGGCCACACUGGGACUGAGACACGGCCCAGACUCCUACGGGAGGCAGCAGUGGGGAAUAUUGCACAAUGGGCGCAAGCCUGAUGCAGCGACGCCGCGUGAGGGAUGACGGCCUUCGGGUUGUAAACCUCUUUCAGCAGGGAAGAAGCGCAAGUGACGGUACCUGCAGAAGAAGCGCCGGCUAACUACGUGCCAGCAGCCGCGGUAAUACGUAGGGCGCAAGCGUUGUCCGGAAUUAUUGGGCGUAAAGAGCUCGUAGGCGGUCUGUCGCGUCUGGUGUGAAAUCCCGAGGCUCAACCUCGGGCUUGCAUCGGGUACGGGCAGACUAGAGUGCGGUAGGGGAGACUGGAAUUCCUGGUGUAGCGGUGGAAUGCGCAGAUAUCAGGAGGAACACCGAUGGCGAAGGCAGGUCUCUGGGCCGCAACUGACGCUGAGGAGCGAAAGCAUGGGGAGCGAACAGGAUUAGAUACCCUGGGUAAGUCAAAG
rnacentral:rRNA from 1 species